rnacentral:rRNA from 3 species
CGAAAGUACAACCCUGAACGGUGGAUCACUCGGCUCGUGGGUCGAUGAAGAACGCAGCAAAUUGCGCGUCGACAUGUGAACUGCAGGACACAUGAACAUCGACAUUUCGAACGCACAUUGCGGUCCAUGGAUUCCGUUCCCGGACCACGCCUGGCUGAGGGUCGGUAGCUAAAA